UACAGAGGGUGCGAGCGUUAAUCGGAAUUACUGGGCGUAAAGCGCACGUAGUCGGCUUUGCAAGUCGGUUGUGAAAUCCCCGGGCUCAACCUGGGAACUGCAUCCGAGACUGCAUUGCUAGAGUAUGGGAGAGGAAGGCGGAAUUUCUGGUGUAGCAGUGAAAUGCGUAGAUAUCAGAAGGAACAUCAGUGGCGAAGGCGGCUUUCUGGACCAAUACUGACGAUCAGGUGCGAAAGCGUGGGGAGCAAACAGG
rnacentral:rRNA from 1 species